UCCUAAGGUGGCGAAAUUCCUUGUCGGGUAAGUUCCGACCCGCACGAAAGGCGUAACGAUCUGGGCACUGUCUCGGAGAGAGGCUCGGUGAAAUAGACAUGUCUGUGAAGAUGCGGACUACCUGCACCUGGACAGAAAGACCCUAUGAAGCUUUACUGUUUCCUAGGAUUGGCUUUGGGUACCUUACCCAGCAUGCAAGACGGGAUUAUCUGCCUCAUCCGUUAAGGCUUUAUAUG
rnacentral:ncRNA from 1 species